CGCGUAGGUGGAUUGAUCAGUCGUAUGUGAAAGGCCCGGGCUUAACCUGGGAACUGCAUGUGAUACUGUUGGUCUAGAGUAGAGUAGAGGGAAGUGGAAUUUCCGGUGUAGCGGUGAAAUGCGUAGAUAUCGGAAGGAACAUCGGUGGCGAAGGCGGCUUCCUGGACUCAUACUGACGCUGAAGCGCGAAAGCGUGGGGAGCAAACAGGAUUAGAUACCCUGGUAGUCCUAGCCCUAAACCAUCAGGACUUGGGGUUUGCCCUGUACGGGGCAAGUCCCGGAGCUAACGCGUUAAGUCCUGCGCCUGGGGAGUACGGUCGCAAGGCUGAA
rnacentral:rRNA from 1 species